GAGACACCCCUCUGGGGCAAGACUUGCUUCAAUGGGGCUUUGGUGGUCACUGGGUCUGCCCCCUGAGUGUGUCCUU
rnacentral:pre_miRNA from 1 species